rnacentral:rRNA from 1 species
UACGUAGGGUGCAAGCGUUAAUCGGAAUUACUGGGCGUAAAGCGCGCGCAGGCGGUCCUUUAAGUCUGAUGUGAAAGCCCACGGCUCAACCGUGGAGGGUCAUUGGAAACUGGGGGACUUGAGUACAGAAGAGAAGAGUGGAAUUCCACGUGUAGCGGUGAAAUGCGUAGAGAUGUGGAGGAACACCAGUGGCGAAGGCGACUCUUUGGUCUGUAACUGACGCUGAGGCGCGAAAGCGUGGGGAGCAAACAGG